UGCAAACUGUUAUGACUGCUUGACGUUGGC
rnacentral:piRNA from 1 species